CCUACGGGACGCAGCAGUGGGGAAUAUUGCACAAUGGGGGAAACCCUGAUGCAGCGACGCCGCGUGAGUGAAGAAGUAUUUCGGUAUGUCAAGCUCUAUCAGCAGGGAAGAAAAUGACGGUACCUGCUUAAGAAGCCCCGGCUAACUACGUGCCAGCAGCCGCGGUAAUCCGUAGGGGGCAAGCGUUAUCCGGAUUUACUGGGUGUAAAGGGAGCGUAGACGGCAGAACAAGUCUGGAGUGAAAUGCCGGGGCUUAACCCCGGAACUGCUUUGGAAACUGUGCAGCUAGAGUGCAGGAGAGGUAAGUGGAAUUCCUAGUGUAGCGGUGAAAUGCGUAGAUAUUAGGAGGAACACCAGUGGCGAAGGCGGCUUACUGGACUGUAACUGACGUGGAGGCUCGAAAGCGUGGGGAGCAAACAGGAUUAGAUACCCCAGUAGUC
rnacentral:rRNA from 1 species